UGGCGGCAUGCUNUACACAUGCAAGUCGAACGGUAACNGGUCUUCGGAUGCUGACGAGUGGCGAACGGGUGAGUAAUACAUCGGAACGUGCCCGAUCGUGGGGGAUAACGCAGCGAAAGCUGUGCUAAUACCGCAUACGAUCUACGGAUGAAAGCGGGGGAUCGCAAGACCUCGCGCGGACGGAGCGGCCGAUGGCAGAUUAGGUAGUUGGUGGGAUAAAAGCUUACCAAGCCGACGAUCUGUAGCUGGUCUGAGAGGAUGAUCAGCCACACUGGGACUGAGACACGGCCCAGACUCCUACGGGAGGCAGCAGUGGGGAAUUUUGGACAAUGGGCGAAAGCCUGAUCCAGCCAUGCCGCGUGCGGGAGGGAAGGCCUUCGGGUUGUAAACCGC
rnacentral:rRNA from 1 species